AUGCAUCUACCUGUUGCAAAGCCACUACAACAAAUUUUAGACAAAUACCAAGAAGUAUUUAAACCACCUGAAGGGUUGCCACCAAAAAGACAAUAUGAUCAUGUCAUUCCCUUAGUCACCAGGGCCAGGCCAAUAUCUAUCAGGCCCUAUAUGGUUGCUCCACAACUUAAAGAUAAACUGGAGGAACAUGUAGCUGAAUUGCUUAAAACUAGAAUGAUUAGACACAACAAUAGUCUCUUUUCUCCUCCUGUUAUACUGGUCAAGAAAAAGAAGGGGUUGGAGGAUGGUACUAGAUUAUAG
rnacentral:rRNA from 1 species